rnacentral:rRNA from 1 species
UACGGAAGAGGAUAGCGUUGUUCGGAAUUACUGGGCGUAAAGAGAGCGUAGAAGGCUUAACAAGUUGGGGGUGAAAUCCCGGAGCUCAACUCCGGAACUGCCUUCAAAACUGGUAAGCUCGAGUCCGGAAGAGGGGCGUGGAAUUCCCAGUGUAGAGGUGAAAUUCGUAGAUAUUGGUAAGAACACCGGUGGCGAAGGCGGCGCCCUGGUCCGGUACUGACGCUGAGGCGCGAAAGCGUGGGGAGCAAACAGG